rnacentral:rRNA from 1 species
GCUCUCUGAUGGCGAGUGGCGAACGGGUGAGUAAUGCAUCGGAACAUAUCUUUAAGUGGGGGAUAGCUCGGCGAAAGCCGGAUUAAUACCGCAUAGUCUCUUCGGAGUAAAGUGGGGGACCCUCGGGCCUCAUGCUUGAAGAGUGGCCGAUGUCGGAUUAGCUUGUUGGUGAGGUAACGGCUUACCAAGGCUACGAUCCGUAACUGGUCUGAGAGGAUGAUCAGUCACACUGGAACUGAGACACGGUCCAGACUCCUACGGGAGGCAGCAGUGGGGAAUUUUGGACAAUGGGGGAAACCCUAAUCCAGCGAUGCUGCGUGCGGGAAGAAGGCCUUAGGGUUGUAAACCGCUUUCAGCUAGGAAGAAAAGGUUAUAGUUAAUAUCUAUAAUUUAUGACGGUACUAGCAGAAGAAGCACCGGCUAACUACGUGCCAGCAGCCGCGGUAAUACGUAGGGUGCAAGCGUUAAUCGGAAUUACUGGGCGUAAAGAGUGCGCAGGCGGCUCUUUAAGACAGGUGUGAAAUCCCCGAGCUCAACUUGGGAAUUGCGCUUGUGACUGGAGAGCUAGAGUGCAGAAGAGGGGGAUAGAAUUCCUGGUGUAGCAGUGAAAUGCGUAGAUAUCAGGAGGAAUACCGAUGGCGAAGGCAGUC